rnacentral:rRNA from 1 species
AUACGUAGGUGACAAGCGUUAUCCGGAUUUACUGGGCGUAAAGGGCGUGUAGGCGGUCUUGCAAGUCAGAAGUGAAAUUCCUGAGCUCAACUCGGGCGCUGCUUCUGAAACUGCGGGACUUGAGUGCUGGAGGGGAUAGCGGAAUUCCUAGUGGAGCGGUAAAAUGCGCAGAUAUUAGGAAGAACACCGGUGGCGAAGGCGGCUAUCUGGACAGUAACUGACGCUGAGGCGCGAAAGCGUGGGGAGCGAACAGGAUUAGAUACCCUGGUAGUCCACGCGGUAAACGAUGAAUGCUAGGUGUUGCGGGUAUCGACCCCUGCAGUGCCGGAGUAAACACAAUAAGCAUUCCGCCUGGGGAGUACGGCCGCAAGGUUGAAACUCAAAUGAAUUGACGGGG